rnacentral:lncRNA from 1 species
AUGACCCCACGCGAAGGGUCUUGGGGGCACACGCAGCUCUCGGCUGGCAGGGCAGGACCCACCGGCGUCGGUGAUCUUCGUGCAGACCUCGGUCAGCCGGUCGCCGGGACUCUUGUCGGGUGUGUUCAGGAAGUGGGGCCGCAGGAGGGACUUGAGCGUGGAGCUGACGGCCACGAGGAAGAGCUUGGCGUGGUAGUCACACACACGGGCCACCGUGCAGGGCGACAGCUUGCACAGCGAGGCCUUCAUGGCCAGGAUCCGGGUGGACAGGACCUGGGUGGGGGCGGCUGGUGGGAGGGGCGGGCCGCCGGCAGGCAGGNNNNNNNNNNNNNNNNNNNNNNCCAGAGCAGGGCGGAGAGGGGACUGCACAGGGCGAGCCGGUCCCCCCUUCCCCGCAGUGCUGAUCUCUCGCAGGAAAGGCUGAGGCUCAGAGCUCACUGGGAGGAAGGGGCCGGCGGGCCGGGGUACCUGCUGCAGGGCGGCGUUCUGGCGCGUGUACUCCUCGUGCAGCUUCUCCACCAGGCUCUGCACCAUGCCGGGCUGCACGUGCAACAGCGUGUCCCACCAGUCGUAGCCCGUCACCAUGCAGUACUCCAGCAGGAAGAGCAAGUGCCGCAGGGCCAGGCUUACGUCCAGCGUGUGGCCCAUGGAUGGCGAGAUACGCAGCAUGCUGAGCUGCGGGGGGUGGGGGUGAGGGCCUGGCCGGCAGGCGCCCUCAAACACGGAGGGGCGUGCCAGGGGCACCUGGGUCCGGCCCCACACCUAGUGACCCCAGCGCCCAGUGUCCCUCCCUGGGCCUCGCAAAUCCACUCUCGGGCCGUGGGGUCUCUGCAAAGACGCAGCCCCGGCUCUCCAGAAGCAGAACCCCUCCCGCAAGGAGAGGCCUGCUGGCCAGCCUGCCGCAUGGACAGGCCGAGGACGGGGCCAACGGGAAGCGGAUUCAGGCCGGAGUCACGAAGAAAAGCGACUCGCAGAAGCUGGUUUAUUCGGGGGUCUGCACGGGAGGCGGGGCUGAGGGUGAGCGUGCACAGCGUGCCCAUCGGCCAGGCCGGGGUCCCCCGGAAGCAAGGAUGUUCACUGAGCACCUACUACGUGCCCCAGACCACACCAGAGCUUUUCUCCGUGAUCUCGGGGAGCCAGAGGAACCCCAGCUCCCAGGUGAGGGAUCUCGGGCCGUUGAGCAGCAGGGACGGCAGUGGGGGUCCCGGGGCCCGCCCCUCCCUCUCUUCCCUGCUGCGCAGGCGGCUUCAAAGCUCACCUUCCCAUGGUUGUCGAUGCCGACCAGGGCCAGCGAGGUCCAGGACAGCUGCAUGGCCUUGA